UACAUAAGUAACAUGUAUUACUUUAAUUGUUUAGUUCAUGGAUAAUGCUAAACGAGAUUUGUUUUUCUUAUUUACAAAAUUUCAUACAUAUUACACCAAAUGAAAGUAAAAUAAGUUCAAAUAAGUUUAUUAUUACCAAAUAUAUUAAUAACAAUACUAUCGAUGGAAAAGAAAUAUUGCAGUGAUAAAUUAAAGCGAGGAUACUGAUUGACCUAGAUGCACCUAAGGCUGUUGGUAUGUUUAUUAGACUAAAAUGGAAAAAUCUUAAAUUUCAAAGUCCUCUAUUUCAACCCUCUAUUUCAAAAUCCAUUUUAAAGUCUGAAUAAUUCUCUGAUUUUACUAUAUCUUUUCCACCAACAACAUAUUUAUAAUUAUCAAAAUGCAGUCAAAAGAUUAAGAAAAGAUUAAGAAUUGCAUACACAUGGUGCACAAACGCACGCGCAUAAAUAUAUUAUUAUCGCACCUUUUUUAAGCUUAAGUAAACGAUUAAUUUAGAUCUCUUUUCUUCAAUUAGACGAUCAUUUAUUUAUACGCUAUGUUUAACAGUAAUUAUUAUAUUUAUGAACUAGAAGGAUAAACAACAAAUCACGAACGCAUAACAAAAUAUUGCUCGCGCUUUACAGGCAAUGUACAAGGAUGUCGUCGUAUUAAAACUUUAUAAAUACGAAAAAUAGCAGAAUAUUAAAGCUGUACGAUAUUACUAUCAUUGCAGGCGUAUAAGUUCGUAGGUUUUCUCGUGCUACCCAUAACUAAAGCUUCGUGGUACUCGACAAAAGUUUUCUUUGACAACGUUUACCGUGUAUCGAUGUUAUUUGUUACUAAAAUACCAGAUUUCUAAAAUUCGGAUUUACAUUGAUAAAUACAAACGUAGUACAUUAACUUUUGUUCCUUAGAUUUUAUAAUUCUAAGUCUUUGUAAUCAUAUAUGGAAAUUUAACAUAAUUGAAACGAUUUCAUACAAUCUUUGAUCAAUAGCUGAAUAUUCGCUUACCAAAAUUUGACUACUGGCAGUAUUGUUGGAAGUACGUCGAUUGAAAGAAGCUAAUAAUAAGAACGUCCUAAUGACAUUUUCUUUAUAUUUUUAUCAACUUGGUACUCGUUGUCAAUAUACUCAUUGAGUCACUCGAUCAUAGGCAAUUAAAAGCUAUUUUCGAUUCAUAAUAUUGCUUUUUUCACCUCAACUUUUUCAAUUACAAAUGACAAAUUUACGAUAUUAUUUACUACGUAUCUAAGAACAAAAAAAAAAACAGUAAUCUUGUUGGUAUAUUUAAUUUUCUUGAACACUAUGAUUUUAUUUGAUGAUAACUACUUUCGCUCAAGCAAAAAUAAAAAUAUCAAAUAAAUCGUAACAUCUAGAAAAUUAAAGAAAGAGUUUUAACGAUUACUGUUAAUUUUUGUUUGCAUAGAGAUAAAAUCAAAUAAAAUCUCCGUAUAUCGUAGCAGAUAUAUAUUCACGUAUAGAUCGUGAUGUAUCCGUUUGUUCGCAAAUCAUGAAACAAGUAUUCAGUAUACUUUCGAGACCCGGAAGAUAUGUAUGUUUAUGUAUACAUAAGAAUCAAGCAAUUAGGCAUGUUUCUCCUUCUAUUAGUUCCAAACUAACUCUAAGAAACUCAUUGAAUUUAUGGUAAACGUUGAUGUUUUAAGUGCGGACGAUAGAUUCUUAAAAUAAAAAUUUCGUCAACGCACAUACAAUAUAAUUGUGAAGAAUUUACAUAUAUCAGACCUUUCCAUCGCGUGUGCCGAUAAGCUAUGGAAUUCUAGAUCGUGUUUCAGUGUAGAGGAACACUUGUACGUAUAAGGCAUCUAUCAUUAAUAACAAUAUUUUUCUCAAAGAUCCUCGAUUUCACUAGAAGUGGUGAAGAAUUACACAGCCUCAAAGGUUCCGCCGUUGAACAGAUCUGAUUUACAGAAUAAAGCUAUCAUUUAUAUAAAUAAGCGUAUGUUAUCAUGUUAAAAAAGGGAAAUAAUCGAAGAAUAUACAAACUUGUCCCAAAAGAAAAAGAGUCCACAAAUUAAUCAUUUUAAAUGAAGUUGUACAUUUUUAUUUUGGUGUCCAUUUAAACAU